GGGGUCGUAGUCUAAUCCGGUAGAAUAGGCGGCUCCAGACCGCUUGAUUUGGGUUCAAAUCCCAACGACCCCA
rnacentral:tRNA from 1 species